CACACACAACCUGCAUAACAUAAUCACUAUUUCAUUUUUUCUCCAUUUCUUUGUGUCAUUAUUCUGUUAAAUGGGUUUUAGCACAGGAGGCAGAUAAUUAUCUGUACAGGAGUAGUCCAUACAUCAGGACAUCCUACAUUCUUCAGCUUUGAAUGUGGCAUUUUACUGUACACACUGUUCAUUAAAACAUCUUGGUAGCAUUACUCUUGGGAGGAGCCAGCCAUAAACAGACACAAAGGCCAUUCAGAGCAACUCUUGCAUAAAUAGAACAGUCAAAAUGACAGUAUGUUUACAGCCAU